rfam:Aedes aegypti strain Liverpool supercont1.714 genomic scaffold, whole genome shotgun sequence.
GCCACCGUGACAAGAACCCAAGGCUGCUGCUGGAGUCGUGAAAACCUGAAAACCCAAGCGGAUGGGAAUUGCCCCGUUCUUCCAGGUCAACGUCGGCGGAAUGGUGUUAUUCUAUGCCAAAAUGAAGCAGCGCAGGAACUACAA